CCUACGGGAGGCUGCAGUAGGGAAUUUUGCGCAAUGGGCGAAAGCCUGACGCAGCAACGCCGCGUGAUCGAGACGCCCUUCGGGGUGUAAAGAUCUGUCAGUGGGGACAAAACUUGACGGUACUCACAGAGGAAUCAGCGGCUACCUCCGUGCCAGCAGCCGCGGUAAUACGGGGGGUGCAAGCGUUGUCCGGAAUCAUUGGGUGUAAAGAGGUCGUAGGCGGCACGUAAAGUCUGGUGUUAAAGGCAGAGGCUCAACUUCGGUACGGCACUGGAUACUUGCGGGCUAGAAUGCGGUAGAGGUAAAGGGAAUUCCUGGUGUAGCGGUGGAAUGCUUAGAUAGCAGGAGGAACAUCGGUGGCGUAAGCGCUUUGCUGGGCCGUAAUUGACGCUGAGGAACGAAAGCCAGGGUAGCAAAUGGGAUUAGAUACCCCAGUAGUC
rnacentral:rRNA from 1 species